rnacentral:tRNA from 1 species
GCGGAUGUGGCGGAACUGGCAGACGCGCACGGUUCAGGUCCGUGUCUUUCACGAGGUGGGGGUUCAAAUCCCUUCAUCCGCACCA